rnacentral:lncRNA from 1 species
AUAGGAGGUCAUUACCUUCCCACUGGCUCCAUGGUAGAUGGUAGGAGCAAAGCCAAGGAGGAAAGAGUGUACCUGCCAGAUGCCUCCCAGAGAUUGGUUCCAUUUCUUUGAUCGCGUGAGCAAACAUUUCGCUGAGUUUCAAUCGGCAAAAUUAGUUCAUUUCUCUCCUUUUGUACUUGUAAUCCUGGGGAGAAAUUAUUUCUAAGAUAUUAGCUUUGCCAUCCACACCUUAAACUCUCGAACCCCAAGUUAAGACUAUUUUCCAACUGAAGGAUGCUCUGACUUCUCCUUAUGGUGGGGACUGUGUACCCCUCCUCGCCCUGGAUCUCAACAGUUUUCUCUUGAGAUGCCUUGUGUACCUGCCACCUUCUGUCUAUAACAGGGAGGUGAAAUCCCAGAGGAAAGCUGGGUUGCAUUGGAAAGUACACUAACUAGAGGCAACUUCAUAGCAUAUCAUGAACUUUUAAAAUAACGUGAAGAAGGUUAAAGCAGGAUUCACUCCAGGCAACUGAGUCCCCAAACCCUUAUAUAUUCUUCUUUCUUUUUCUCUUUCCUUUCUUUUCUUUUCUUUUCUUUUCUCUUCUUUUCUUUUCUCUUCUUUUCUUUUCUUUUCUCUUUUCUCUUUUCUCUUUCCUCUUUCCUCUUUCCUCUUUCCUCUUUCCUCUUUCCUCUUUUCUCUUUCCUCUUUUCUCUUUUCUCUUUUCUCUUUUCUUUCUUUCCUUCCUUCCUUCCUUCCUUCCUUCCUUCCUUCCUUCCUUCCUUUUUGUGGUUGUUUUUCUUGUUACUAUUAUCUAUGUUAUAAAUUUCAUUUCAUUUAGUUCAGACUCUUUUUUCCUUUCUGAAAUAUAUUUUCUAAAGUAUACUCAUGUAUGAUUGGCUUGAAUGCUAAAUCGCAAAAUCAGAAUGGUCUGGGCUGUGCCCUUAACCCUCUCCACCCUCUGAAGCUGGUGCCAGAAGCUGUUCUCAGCUCCUCUCCCUAUGCCAUUGCAUGUCCCCACUGUUUCGUGGCCUGCUAUGCAAAUCCUCACCAUGACUAAUGUCUGCCUCCAAUGCUGCGUAGCUGAAUGACUAUCUAACAUCUGUAGAGUAGCUGUGUGGAUUCAGGUUUAUUCUGUCCUUAACUAAUGCAGUUAAUCACAGAUCAUCAUUUCUCUUAUGAUUGAGAAUUUCAGAUGAAUACUAGUGUCGUGCUGACAUCUUUCUUUUAUUUUCCCCAUAUUUGUAACAGGAUUUAUUAAAAUAAAUUGUGCCGGGAGAACAUUGGAAAUUAUAGUAAAAAUAUAGCAUUCGUUUAAAAUGUAAGAGCUUAAAGUUCACAAUAGUUACAAAACAUGUUCUUUUAUGAAAAUUUAAAAGUCAUUUUUUCAGUCCUCCAAGGAAACUGAUACUGCUUCCUUUGAGUCUGACUGGGAAAAUGACAUUUCAUGACCUAACGAUUAAGAACAUUUUUGAAUAAAGCCUUUUACCUUUCCCAUUAGUGGGGUCUUCCAGAAGAUUAUAUACAUGAUUGAAUAUUUCUAUAUAAAACAAUAUUUUAAUAUAAGACAAUAUUUGUAUUGUUUUCCCCAAAGCCUACAACUGUGAUUU